GAACGUAUAGCUCAGGGGUAGAGCGCAGGCUUAGCAUGCAUGAGGUCCUGGGCUUAAUCCCCAGUACCUCCA
rnacentral:tRNA from 1 species